GACGGAGGGGGCAAGCGUUGUUCGGAAUUACUGGGCGUAAAGGGCUCGUAGGCGGCCAACUAAGUCGGACGUGAAAUCCCUCAGCUUAACUGGGGAACUGCGUCCGAUACUGGAUGGCUUGGAUUCGGGAGAGGGAUGCGGAAUUCCAGGUGUAGCGGUGAAAUGCGUAGAUAUCUGGAGGAACACCGGUGGCGAAGGCGGCAUCCUGGACCGAUAUUGACGCUGAGGAGCGAAAGCCAGGGGAGCAAACGGG
rnacentral:rRNA from 1 species